UAACACUUUACUCGAAGAUAUAGAACAUUAUAUUAACCGACUUAAUACAUCUCUACUCGAACUCAAACAAUUAGAUGAUGACAUCCAUAAUCUGUUAUCCGAUGCAGACUACGCUCUUGACACAGAGAAAUGUGAAGAAUAUAUUGACAACUGUGAGUGCGCUAUCAGCAAAGGAAAGCGACUUAUUCAAGACCGAAAUGAAUAUAUACCACCAAUUUCCCAAGCAAAUGACAUCCAAAGCGCGCAUACUCCUGUCAAUGUGCCUAUACCUCCGAAUUUUUAUACUGAGGCAAAUCAUUCCUCAUACAAACAUCCAUAUGUAAAAUUAUCU
rnacentral:lncRNA from 1 species